UACAGAGGGGGCAAGCGUUGUCCGGAAUUAUUGGGCGUAAAGAGCUCGUAGGCGGCUUGUCACGUCGGGUGUGAAAGCCCGGGGCUUAACCCCGGGUCUGCAUUCGAUACGGGCUAGCUAGAGUGUGGUAGGGGAGAUCGGAAUUCCUGGUGUAGCGGUGAAAUGCGCAGAUAUCAGGAGGAACACCGGUGGCGAAGGCGGAUCUCUGGGCCAUUACUGACGCUGAGGAGCGAAAGCGUGGGGAGCGAACAGG
rnacentral:rRNA from 1 species